GUUGUAUGCCAUGAACAUGGCACACAUUCAUGCCACAUACAACAUUAAUUAGUUUUGUCUAAUUACAGCCAACGAGCGGCGGGGCAUCAUCAGAAUAUACAGCUACAAUCCGGCAGAUAGAGAGAUACAUCCACGGCCAGCGAGUGCAUUGCAUAGCUGUUAUGUUUUAAUGCCAUUUGUCGCCAAAGAACGAGUCGCGCCUGUUCCUGUGGUGCAUGAUUGUGGCUUACUGUUAAGUCGCACUGUACUGUACUGUACUGUCCGUAUCCGAUGGAUGCAAAAACUCGUUCGCUAAUGGCCUGUCAAACUGUGCGGCAGACAAGAGGCGUCGUCAUGGCUCAGAGUUCGCUGUGUCUGGGGAAAUACUCAACAUAAUCUCUGAAUCAACUUGCAAAAAAGAUGUGAAUGAGUUGGCAGCUUAAGGCUUAAGGCAGAGUUGAUUAUGGAGAAGAUUGAGGUUAACUUUGGCUUAAUCGAUAAUCGAUCUAUAAUCGAUAGUAAUAUAGUUCUGAAACUCUUCUAUGGAUGGUAGACCCUUCCAGACCCAAAUCAUUCACUUCCUUGCAUAACAAUUUCUUCUGAUAUUUUCCAACUCUUUUUCCCCUCCCCCACCCCCUGUAAAUGUCAAAGCUGUCAAUGUCAUCAAAAAAAUCAACAAACAUUUCCCAUAACCAUGCAAAUUUCCUACAAAAGAAGAAAGGCAGAAAAAAGGAUGAUAAAAAAGAGCCCUAAAAAUAACAUAAAUGGUAUACACAAAGAAACAACAACAACAAAACCGUUUGCAUUCCUGACCUACUCUGCAACUUUACAUUGACUUCAAACGGCCUGUAGUCCCGGGCCUCCACCGCCCUCUCUCACUCUGCCUCUCUGCUGCAUGCCACUCCGACCAAAGCGCUCAGACGAUAUUCAGCAUUCAGCAUAGAAAUGGGUGGAGACUCCAAAACGAGUUGGGGGUUAAAGGAUAUGGCCAACAAGCAACAGCAACAGCAACAACCUGGUUGGCCAUAAAAAAGUUGUAUUUUUUACCUCCAAAAGUAGUUAAACUUCAAAAGCCGACAAACGUGGAAGAAGAGAAGAAGCAGCAGGGCCAGGGGAAGAGGCAGAGGCAAAAGCAGACGAAGAAGAGCAGAAACAACAACAAAAGCAACAACAAAGCCCCCAAUUGAGAGAUGGAGACGACCGUAGACGUCGUAGAUGCCACAUCAAGGCAUGCAACGCCACCACCCAAUACCAAAGCAAUACAGAAACAAACGAAACAAAGCACAAGGCACAAGGCACAUUGCAAGCCGAUGACGUGCGCACAGUGGUUGUCGGAGGAUUUGCAUGUGAAAUGUUCAGCGAGCAAUUGCAUAACAGCCGAUGAAUGCGGGGCUGAUGCGAGUAGGGGACUUGUUGGAUCACAGAUAAAUGGAAAUGGAAGAGAGUCUCUGAAAAUAUGAAUAAUUUGAAUAGUAAAUGU
rnacentral:sRNA from 1 species